UUGAAGUACUACUCGAAGUCAUCAGAGGUUGCUACCUAAGAGUCAACUUUUCUUUUGAAGGGAAGGAAGGAAAGUUUCUUACCAGCAGGAAGAAGGGGCUAGCAGGAGCCCUGUGAAAUAUUCCCCAUGAGAACAGAGUCCUUCCAACUUUCAGUCAAAACGAUGAAAACUGAAGAAUGCGGCUGUACAGGAAGAGGAGUUGGGAAGUGCCCAAGUGACGAUUAAACAACUGCAUAAAAUAUUUGCGACAAAAGAUCUCAGAAGAUGUAUUAGCAGUUUCCACAAAGAAGGUGACCAAUUCUGCUCCGCCGUAAAGACAUGGUGUUGUAAGUGAUGAUCUAAAAUGAAGGUACAUCUAAACAAGAAGUAUCUAGCGCCUCUACAAGAGUCUCUCAAACAGUGAAAAGUGAGACCUGCAUGCUUGUUAUAUAGCAUUACAGUGCAAUUAAAAGUACACAGAUAAAUGUGUAGGUAAGAACUUGAUCAGUUUGAAACACCUCAAAUUCUCUCACUAAGCACAAAAAUACACACAUUAGCCACCCUGAUCCUAAAUGAACUCUGGUAUUCUUACUUAAGACAACACUGUGCUAACGACCAGAGAUCUGAAUACAAGAUGAAUUUUAAGAUUAGAAUUGCCUUUUCUCACCAAGCCUACUCAGGAACAAUAACAUCACCAUAGCAUGAAGCUGCCAAGCUGCAUCUUCAGUCUAUUGUACUGUUAGGAGUUAAAAUUGUAAUCGUAACAAUCCACCUGAAAUGGUAAAAAUGAAUAAAUUAAUGACACAACAGAGUUACACAGACAUGGAAAUUAUCCUUCGUGAGUUCCAAUUGAAAAACAAAAAAGCAAAGAAAGCUAUGAGUCAACUUUCUGGCUGCAUUCUCAGCCUCCACAGCAAGAGAUAAGAGAUAAAGAUGAGAACACAGUUGGGUGUUAUUUAUCAAACCUCCUCUAUUCACAUACCAACAUUUAUAAUAUAGCAAACCUCUACUGUUUUUGUUUUUUAAAUAUAUCUCAUGUAAGAUUUUAUAUUUUUCAAAAACAGUACUGUAACACAACAUUUCCCUUGGCACCUUUAAAUAACAUGGUUAAUCCUAUUUACAAUAUCAAAAUAGCAUUUAUGUCACUCAAAAAUAACAAUAUUGUACUGCAGCCUUAGCUAGCAUUGUAGGAUAAUAAAAUCUGUAUAUGU
rnacentral:lncRNA from 7 species